UAUGUGUGGCGGUGUGCUUUGGUUUACUUCUUCUAAACCGUCGCACAUUUGGCGACAGGAGCGGCACAAACCCAACUAACAAAAUUUACAUGCAUAUUAAAUGAAUUUGACCUCUGCAUUGCCCAGGGUCAAUACUGAUUAUGAUAAGAACUUUGAUUUUGUUGAUGAUGUGAAUUUGGAAUGGAAAGUGUUGAAAUUUGAUCUCUGCACCGCCCAGGGUCAGUACCGGUAGGGCCUACUAUUACUGAUUAUGAGCUUAACUUUGAUUUUGUCGAUAAUGUGAAUUUCAAAUUUAAAGUUUUAAAGUUUGACCUCUGCACCGCCCAGGGUCAAUACUGAUGAUGAACUUUGACUUUGUUGAUGAUGUGAACUUUGAUAUUGAACUGUUGUUUGAAUGCUUGAUUUGAGGGCUUGUCAUUGUCUUGUCGACAGCCCGACUUAAAAUGAUUUGACCUCUGCACCGCCCAGGGUCAAGACUCAUAACAACCAGCCGUGGACAUAUCAUGCCAAUUUUUAAAAUAAAAGAAAAAGUAAAAUUUAAACAUAUUUAUUGUUUUUGUCUUUAUCUUUUCUCAGAUAACUACAUUUCGGUCGACUCAGGGUAUUAGUGCCUACCAAAUGUAAGUGAUAGGCCACCUUUCCUCAACCGUUAUGGCACUCCACAUUGCUACUCUCUACCUUACAGUGACAGGCAAUACCUUUCUUCAACUGCUAUGGCGCUCCACAUUGCUACUCUCUACAGGUAUUCACAGGUUUGGAGUCCGCGCUUCUACCACUAGACUAAAGGGAACUUCCCUUUUAGCCCGGAGUUGCAGUUAAACGUCACUUUGUCCUGGUUCGGGCAUUUCUCUGGACAUUUGAUUCCUGGACACUCUACCUUCGGACACUGUACUGUCGGGCAGUGUAGCUUUGGACAAUGGACAACUGGACAAAAGUUGGUAAAAGUGGCUGGGGUAUUGGUUCUCCUGUUGCCCUGAGAAGUGCAACUAUCCAAACACAAGACGGCUAACACAAUCACUGCGCUACAGCUGUGGAGCCACAUUUUCUUUGGCUGAUCAAGAAGAAAUCAGAUAGUAAAAUGACAACAUCGCCACCCAAAACUAACACAAUAUUCCGUCUAAAUGAAUGUUUUCAAAAAAAAAAUGUUUAUGCCACAAACCUACGUGUAGGGCUAUGUCACGAGGCUAGAUGUCGAUGACUCAAAGCGAUGGGACGAUGGCACGGAACCAUGGGGAGAUGGCACGAAGCGAUAGGAAGAUGGCACGAAGCCAUGGGGACAUGGCACAAAGAGAUGGUGCGAUGGCAAAAAGCCAUGAGAAGAUGGCACGAAGCCAUGGAGAGAUGGUACAAAGAGAUGGGACGAUAAAUACGAUGGUAUCUCGUAUCAUCGUUCCAUUGCUUGUGCAAUUAUCCCAUUGCAAUGAGUCAUCAUCACAUCGCCCUGUGCAAUCGUCACAAUUCGUCCCUUAGACACUUCUCCGUCCCUGUAGAACAAAAAGCGAAAGCAUAAUACUAUCGUCACAUUGCUUCGUGCAAUUGUUCCAUCGCCCUGUCCCAUCGUGCUACCUCCUCGUUCCUUCGCUCUUCGUACCUUCGAUGAUGGCCAUAACCGUAUUUGAAGGACUUUAUCUGGGAGUGAAUUGACAGGACUCCUAUCGGUAUUGUAUAGCUAAUUGCAUCCAUGGCCUGUCCUGUUAAUGAGGUGUUGUAAAUAUACAGAUUAUUUGCUAAUGGUAGUGAUUUCUAGAUUGGAAUCUGGUCACUUUAUCACUUGAUACCUGAAUCUUAGGAACAUUGAUAAUAAAUGGAAUAAGUCCAAAGUUUAGCAAUAAGAAAGAAGCAGCGAGACAUCCCGGUGUUUGUUCUCCAUUCCGUUAAGCUUUACCCGGGAUCCUUAACAUAUACAUAGUAACUACAUAAGGUCCGUUAAAUGUUAAAGACUUACCUAUCUGUCCAAGUAGAUAGAAAGGAGUCGAGAAGAUAGAAAAGAAAAUCCUGGAUCUUUUAUACUAAGGCAGAAAUUGGUUGAAAGUUCCUGUGUGUCUUGUAUAUAAUAUAUGUAUAUAAAUAUUUGCCCGAAGGGUGAAGAUUUUUACAUAUUAAAAAAACAUACACGUUGACAUAAAACUUAAUUUGUCAAAUUAUAAAACCUUAUCAAUUUCCAGUCUAUAUCCAGUAGCAGCCCAGGAUUAAUCACCUUGUCAAGCCAACUGACAGACCCCACACAGGAUGAGCAGACAACCGUGGAGCAAGGAUACAACAAUGCGGAGCUUAAAGGAGUGCUGUCAACAUCUUAAUAAUUGCCUUAUAACGAAUCUGCAUGUUUGUUUAUCGCCUCACACGCUUCCCGCGGCGACGAUCGGCUCUCCCGACCCCAGAGCCGAGUUGAUGAGGUGCCCGUCACGUGAUGACACCGUAAGAAAUGGCCCAUACUGAACAACAUUGUUCACUUAUACCAAAUCAAAUAAUGUCAGACUGUGAAACAGACAUACUGGAAAUUCCAAUGUGUAUGCCACCUAUCGACCCGUACAUGUAUGAUUCUAUACGAACCGAUUCAGCGCGUGGAGCCCAAAAAAUCAGCCCAGUAAACCGCUCCCCUCAUUUGUCUGACAGCGAGUCUGACCACGGCGACAGCAGUCAGAAACCAAAGAUUUUCGGACCGACAACUUGAGCUGAUAACUACAUUUUAUAUCAGUUAAUUCCUUGCCAUUUUGCCAUUUCCUACCACUGUAAUGGUGGCCACUGUGGUAUAAGUGAAAUAUUCUUGAGUAUGGCUUAAAUCGCCAAUCAAAUAAAUAAAUAAAUUCCUUUGCUAUUCAAGACCAUAUACAUCCCGGCAUUAGUGGUUUUUCUCGAGCCAACGCGCUGUGCCCACGUAGACACGGCGGUGAAAACAUUGUCAAAAUAACAUGAGAGUUAAUACAGACCUCUGAAUCUGGUAA